rnacentral:rRNA from 1 species
UACGUAGGGGGCUAGCGUUGUCCGGAUUUAUUGGGCGUAAAGAGCGUGUAGGCGGCCAGGUAGGUCCGGCGUGAAAACUCGAGGCUUAACCUCGAGAUGUCAUCGGAAACCAUCUGGCUAGAGUCCGGAAGAGGAAAGUGGAAUUCCUGGUGUAGCGGUGAAAUGCGCAGAUAUCAGGAAGAACACCGAUGGCGAAAGCAGCUUUCUGGGACGGUACUGACGCUGAGACGCGAAAGCGUGGGGAGCGAACAGG